UACGAAGGGUGCAAGCGUUACUCGGAAUUACUGGGCGUAAAGCGUGCGUAGGUGGUGGCUUAAGUCCGAUGUGAAAGCCCUGGGCUCAACCUGGGAAUGGCAUUGGAUACUGGGUCACUGGAGUGCGGUAGAGGGGUGCGGAAUUCCCGGUGUAGCAGUGAAAUGCGUAGAUAUCGGGAGGAACAUCCGUGGCGAAGGCGGCACCCUGGACCAGCACUGACACUGAGGCACGAAAGCGUGGGGAGCAAAC
rnacentral:rRNA from 1 species